rnacentral:rRNA from 1 species
UACGGGGGGGGCAAGCGUUGUUCGGAAUUACUGGGCGUAAAGGGCUCGUAGGUGGCCAACUAAGUCAGACGUGAAAUCCCUCGGCUUAACCGGGGAACUGCGUCUGAUACUGGAUGGCUUGAGUUCGGGAGAGGGAUGCGGAAUUCCAGGUGUAGCGGUGAAAUGCGUAGAUAUCGGGAGGAACACCGGUGGCGAAGGCGGUUCUCUGGGCCUUACCUGACGCUGAGGAGCGAAAGCGUGGGGAGCGAACAGG